rnacentral:rRNA from 1 species
GUCCACGCUGUAAACGAUGAUUACUAGGUAUGGGGUCUGACCCCUUCCGUGCCGGAGUUAACACAAUAAGUAAUCCACCUGGGGAGUACGGCCGCAAGGUUGAAACUCAAAGGAAUUGACGGGGCCCGCACAAGCAGUGGAUUAUGUGGUUUAAUUCGAAGCAACGCGAAGAACCUUACCAGGUCUUGACAUCGUGCGCAUACCAUAGAGAUAUGGGAAGCCCUUCGGGGCGCAUAGACAGGUGGUGCAUGGUUGUCGU